UCGGAUGUGGUGCAUGGGCACGGCGGCGUUUAAUUCAGCAUAAAGCAUUAUUCAGCCGCAACCCGGGGUUCGAUUCCCCAUAUCUGAA